AGCAGUGGGGAAUCUUAGACAAUGGGCGCAAGCCUGAUCUAGCCAUGCCGCGUGGGUGAUGAAGGCCUUAGGGUCGUAAAGCCCUUUCGCCGGGGAAGAUAAUGACGGUACCCGGUAAAGAAACCCCGGCUAACUCCGUGCCAGCAGCCGCGGUAAUACGGAGGGGGUUAGCGUUGUUCGGAAUGACUGGGCGUAAAGCGCGCGUAGGCGGAUCAGGAAGUUGGGGGUGAAAUCCCGGGGCUCAACCCCGGAAUGGCCUUCAAAACUCCUGGUCUUGAGUUCGAGAGAGGUGAGUGGAAUUCCGAGUGUAGAGGUGAAAUUCGUAGAUAUUCGGAGGAACACCAGUGGCGAAGGCGGCUCACUGGCUCGACACUGACGCUGAGG
rnacentral:rRNA from 1 species